AAUAGAUAAACAUUAAAAAAAAAAAAAAGGAAACAAUUUUUCAGUCUGGCUAGCUUUCAAAGCCUUCCUUGUCUUUGCAGCUCUAACCGACUUGCACAUAUUUUGUGCUUCAAACUUGCAGCCCUCUGAACGCCCGUCUCACAUUCUGCCUUUGGCUCAAGCUUGCCCUGGAGCAUCUUCUCUCCACUGCUGUUGGAAUCUUACUCAUCUUCCGAGGUUCACUUCCAGUGAUAACUCAUUCUUCAAUGAAGAUUUCUUAAUCCUCUUAACCAAAGGCAAAGAUCAGACAGCUGCCCGAAGGCCUGCAAAUGGCCAACCGUGGUGCAGGUGUCUGUCCUAGGUACUGGAACUAGUGACACGGAGCUGUGGGAAUUUGCCCCUUGGCCGGAAGACCUAGAAGUCAGAGGAACGAGGGUUAUUUGGCCCGGAGACAAUUAGACCUAGAGGAAUUAUUGUACCAAGAAAGUAAUUCCUCUUCUAAGCGCUCAUUGCCUGGUGUCUCCGUGCUACGGACAGAGAUCUGACACCUUUGGAAGAUCCUGAAAGAGAAAGAUGACAGAUGAGAAACGUCAGGUCUUCCUACCACCAAGGACUCGUGAGGGGCAUGAUGGAUUUUUUGCAACCAGCCUUCAACCCUAUGAAUGGAAAGUUGGUAGAACUUGUUAGCUCUUGCUUCCGUCUUGGUAAGUUCUAGUUACGAGCUGGGACAUCAUUUCCAUAGCUUUUAUGAAGUCUUUCAGAAAUAUGGGUGUUGAAACGCAGGGCUGAAGACACUUUCUACUUUUCACUGGGAAGCAACGUCUGGCUGGCGGCAGUUUCGGGAUGUGUUUGCCCCUGGUGCUUCAGAAUCGAUUCGCUGGACCACACUGGGCAGCGGUCAGCAGAAGCAAUAGGGCUCCAGGGAUUGCGCAAAACGCCUAAAAUUUUCUUUUUCUCCUGCCGGGUUCUCCUUUUACCACGGAGGCAAACUGGAGAGAGUAGCCUGAGACUCUGGGCUCAUUUUCCUCCCCUGGGUUCAAGUUGGAGAAAACAAUGCUAAUUACAUUUCUAACAGCAGCAAAUAAAUUUGAAAGUAAAGCUCU